GGGUUUGAGGUCUAUAUGGGAUCCUGGGGUCUAUGGGGUGGGAUUUGAGGUCUAUAUGGGGUCUAUGGGGUCGGAUUUGGGGUCUAUACGGGAUCUAUACGGGAUUUGGGGUCUAUGGGUUUGGAUUUGGGGUCUAUAUGGGGUCUACAGAGUGGGAUUUGAGGUCUAUAUGGGAUCCUGGGGUCUAUGGGGUGGGAUUUGGGGUCUAUAUGGGAUCCUGGAGUCUAUGGGGUGGGCUUUAGGGUCUAUACGGGGUCUAUGGGGUCGGAUUUGGGGUCUAUAUGGGAUCUAUACGGGAUUUGGGGUCUAUGGGGAGGGCUUUGGGGUCUAUAUGGGGUGUAUGGGGUGGGAUUUGGGGUCUAUAUGGGGUCUAUGGGGUGGGAUUUGAGGUCUAUAUGGGAUCCUGGGGUCUAUGGGGUGGGAUUUGAGGUCUAUAUGGGGUCUAUGGGGUGGGAUUUGGGGUCUAUAUGGGAUCUAUACGGGAUUUGGGGUCUAUGGGGAGGGCUUUGGGGUCUAUAUGGGGUGUAUGGGGUGGGAUUUGAGGUCUAUAUGGGGUUUAUGGGGUGGGAUUUGAGGUCUAUAUGGGAUCCUGGGGUCUAUGGGGUGGGAUUCGGGGUCUAUAUGGGAUCCUGGAGUCUAUGGGGCGGGCUUUAGGGUCUAUA
ensembl:lncRNA